AUGGCGUCCUGCAGCUGCUCGGCGCGGGAGGCGGCAAGGCCGGAGGAGAGCGCGGCGGAGGAGAAGUCGGAGGGGGAGAAGGACGGGGAGAGGAAGGCGGAGAGGACGGGAUCGGAGGCGAAGGCGUCGAGCGGGGAGGCGGGGUCGGGGGAGGAGGAGGUGGGGGAAGGAGGCGAGGCGAAGGAGCUUCCGGUGAUGAGGUCCUUGGACGUCGGCGAGAGCAGGAGGCGCGGCGUGGCUGGGGCGGCCAUGGCGGUGGCCGUCGCCGGGGCGGGUGGUGGAUCUGGGGGUAGGAGAGAUCCGGAAGACUCACUACUCACUAGGCGUCAUUUGGUCGCUAGAAGGUUGAGAAAAUUGGCUAAUUUCACGAAAAAAAAGGGAACAUUUUUCACAUUACGAAAGCCGGGCAUGUACAAUAGGGACAACAUAAUGUAG
rnacentral:rRNA from 1 species